CUUGACCUCAAAUCAGGUAGGACUACCCGCUGAACUUAAGCAUAUCAAUAAGCGGAGGAAAAGAAACUAACAAGGAUUCCCCUAGUAACUGCGAGUGAAGCGGGAAGAGCUC
rnacentral:rRNA from 1 species